UUAGAGUUUGAUCCUGGCUCAGGACGAACGCUGGCGGCGUGCCUAACACAUGCAAGUCGAGCGAAUGAAGUUCCUUCGGGAACGGAUUUAGCGGCGGACGGAUGAGUAACACGUGGGCAACCUGCCUCAUAGAGGGGAAUAGCCUUCCGAAAGGGAGAUUAAUACCGCAUAAGAUUGUAGUACCGCAUGGUACAGCAAUUAAAGGAGCAAUCUGCUAUGAGAUGGGCCCGCGGCGCAUUAGCUAGGUGGUGAGGUAACGGCUCACCAAGGCGACGAUGCGUAGCCGACCUGAGAGGGUGAUCGGCCACAUUGGGACUGAGACACGGCCCAGACUCCUACGGGAGGCAGCAGUGGGGAAUAUUGCACAAUGGGGGAAACCCUGAUGCAGCACCGCCGCGUGAGUGAUGACGGCCUUCGGGUUGUAAAGCUCUGUCCUUCAGGGACGAUAAUGACGGUACCUGAGGAGGAAGCCCCCGCUAACUACGUGCCCAGCGCCGCGGUAAUACGUAGGUGGCGAGCGUUGUCCGGAUUUACUGGGCGAAAAGGGACCGUAAGCGGAUUUUUAAGGGAGAUGUGAAAUACUCGGCCUUAACCGGAGGGCUGCAUUUUCAACCGGAAAUCCAAAGUGCAGGAAAGGAAAAAGGAAUUUCUAGGGUAGCGGUGGAAUUGCCUAAAAAAAUAGAAAAAACCCCCGGGGGCAAAGGGCCCUUUCUCUGGACUGAAACCGGACCUGAAGGCCCGAAAGGGUGGGGGACCAAAACAGAUUAAACACCCCGGGUAACCCCCCCCCCAAAACAAAGAAAACCAAGGGG
rnacentral:rRNA from 1 species